GCCCACGGCGCCGGCGCAGGCCCAGGCUCCACUCCCCAGCUGUGAAAGGAGUAGCUCUAUGGUGACUUUGAAGACUUGGAAACAGGGGACGUGCACAAGGGAAAAUCGGGCCCCGAUACUCAGAAUGAAGAUAUAGAGAAACAAGGAAGAAAUUAACCCCGACAAAGAAAAAAGUGCCAAGAAAAAGCAUUUGGAUAAGAAGAGAAAAUUGAAGGAGAUGUUUGAUGUGGAAUAUGAUGAAGGAGAAAGCACAUAUUUUGAUGAUCUUAAAGGAGAAAUGCAGAAACAAGCACAGGUGAUCAGUGGCCUGUGUGGCUUAUGGACACACCAGAGUUCCCAGGGGAAGUGAUCUGAAAACUCAUCCUGGUCAGAGUUCAGAAGGACAUGUGGAGUAUAAGGUCAGAUGCGG
ensembl:lincRNA